rnacentral:rRNA from 1 species
CGGGUGAGUAAUACAUCGGAACGUGUCCUGUAAUGGGGGAUAACGCAGCGAAAGCUGUGCUAAUACCGCAUACGUCCUACGGGAGAAAGCGGGGGAUCGCAAGACCUCGCGUUAUAGGAGCGGCCGAUGUUAGAUUAGGUAGUUGGUGGGGUAAAGGCUCACCAAGCCGACGAUCUAUAGCUGGUCUGAGAGGACGACCAGCCACACUGGAACUGAGACACGGUCCAGACUCC